AUUGAACGCUGGCGGCAUGCUUUACACAUGCAAGUCGAACGGCAGCGCGGGCUUCGGCCUGGCGGCGAGUGGCGAACGGGUGAGUAAUGCAUCGGAACGUGCCCAGUAGUGGGGGAUAGCACGGCGAAAGCCGGAUUAAUCUCGCAUACGACCUGAGGGUGAAAGCGGGGGACCGAAAGGCAACGCGCUAUUGGAGCGGCCGAUGUCGGAUUAGCUAGUUGGUGGGGUAAAGGCUUACCAAGGCGACGAUCCGUAGCAGGUCUGAGAGGACGACCAGCCACACUGGGACUGAGACACGGCCCAGACUCCUACGGGAGGCAGCAGUGGGGAAUUUUGGACAAUGGGGGCAACCCUGAUCCAGCCAUGCCGCGUGCGUGAAGAAGGCCUUCGGGUUGUAAACCGCUUUUGUUCGGGAAGAAAUCCUCUGGGCUAAUACCCCGGGGGGAUGACGGUACCGGAAGAAUAAGCAACGGCUAACUACGUG
rnacentral:rRNA from 1 species